rnacentral:rRNA from 1 species
GUAGGGAAUAUUGCACAAUGGGGGAAACCCUGAUGCAGCGACGCCGCGUGAGUGAUGAAGGCCUUCGGGUCGUAAAGCUCUGUCGUAUGGGACUAACAAAAUGAAGGUACCAUGCAAGAAAGGAUCGGCUAACUUCGUGCCAGCAGCCGCGGUAAGACGAGGGAUCCUAGCGUUGUUCGGAAUCAUUGGGCGUAAAGCGGGUGUAGGCGGACUUAUAAGUCAGGUGUGAAAUCCCAGGGCUCAACCCUGGAAGUGCACUUGAUACUGCAAGUCUUGAGUGUGGUAGAGGCUAUUAGAAUUCCUGGUGUAGUGGUGAAAUACGUAGAUAUCAGGAGGAAUACCGGAGGCGAAGGCGGAUAGCUGGGCCAACACUGACGCUGAGACCCGAAAGCGUGGGGAUCAAACAGGAUUAGAAACCCCGGUAGUCC